CUUUUUCAAACACUUUGUUGAAAUUAAUCAUCAUUUGCCUUCCUCUGCCGUAGGAGAUGGCGACACUCAAUUGGUCUGAACCAUUUAUUCUCUUGAAGAUUGCUGUGAAGAUUCCCAAAUCAUCACACAGAUCUUGUGGAGAACCCCUAACCACCAUACAGAUCCUGUGGGGAAUCCCAAACCACCAUACUGCAUGAUCCUGUGAAGAUUAAUCCUUAACCACCAUGCAGAUCCUGUGGGGAAUCCUUAACCACCAAACAGAUCCUGUGGGGGAUCCCAAACCACCAUGCAGAUCCUUUGGGGAAUCCAAACCACUAUGCAGAUCUUGUGGAUAUCGAGUCCCAAACCACCAUAAAGAUCCUUGGGAGAGUUGAUUCCUAACCACCAUAAAGAUCUUAUGGAUAUUUAUUUUCUUUACUAAAAGUCUGAAAGGCAUUUCCCUCCGGCAACUCAAUUUUCUGAAAUAGGAUGUCAUCACUGAGCAGUCAGCUGGUCAAGCAGUGGAUCCAUGAUAAGGGUCACACUUUAUACGUAUUUACAGACCCUGCAGACAAAAACAGCUUGAAAGUAACUACUACCUACAUAGCAAUUUAGCUUAGAAUCUACAGACUUUCAUUGGGAGGUACCAAUGGCCACACUGGGAGUCCACUGUUGCUGCACCAGAAUCCCUGCUUUUAUAUAUUAUGAAGAAUAAAUUAUCUAUCGUGUUCUUAGUA